rnacentral:rRNA from 1 species
CCUACGGGAGGCUGCAGUGAGGAAUAUUGGUCAAUGGACGAGAGUCUGAACCAGCCAAGUAGCGUGAAGGAUGACUGCCCUAUGGGUUGUAAACUUCUUUUAUAUGGGAAUAAAAUGUUCCACGUGUGGGAUUUUGUAUGUACCAUAUGAAUAAGGAUCGGCUAACUCCGUGCCAGCAGCCGCGGUAAUACGGAGGGUCCGAGCGUUAUCCGGAUUUAUUGGGUUUAAAGGGAGCGUAGGUGGAUUGUUAAGUCAGUUGUGAAAGUUUGCGGCUCAACCGUAAAAUUGCAGUUGAAACUGGCAGUCUUGAGUACAGUAGAGGUGGGCGGAAUUCGUGGUGUAGCGGUGAAAUGCUUAGAUAUCACGAAGAACUCCGAUUGCGAAGGCAGUUCACUGGACUGCAACUGACACUGAGGCUCGAAAGUGUGGGUAUCAAACAGGAUUAGAUACCCUAGUAGUC